rnacentral:rRNA from 1 species
AUUUACUGCUAUACCAUCCUGAAUGUUGAAGACCUCAUCUGAUCCCAGAAGCUAAGCAGGGUCAGCUUCGGUUAGUACUUGGAUGGGAGACACAGUGCAGGCUGGAGGAUAUAAUAAUUG